UACGUAGGGUGCGAGCGUUGUCCGGAAUUAUUGGGCGUAAAGAGCUUGUAGGCGGUUUGUCGCGUCUGCCGUGAAAAUCCGGGGCUCAACCCCGGACUUGCGGUGGGUACGGGCAGACUAGAGUGUGGUAGGGGAGAAUGGAAUUCCCGGUGUAGCGGUGAAAUGCGCAGAUAUCGGGAAGAACACCCCGUGGCGAAGGCGGUUCUCUGGGACGGUACUGACGCUGAGACGCGAAAGCGUGGGGAGCGAACAGG
rnacentral:rRNA from 1 species